UCCCAGCUCGAUACCCAAACUCAGACUGGA
rnacentral:piRNA from 1 species